UGCUCUCCCUGGCACCGCGGUCUGCUCAUCCCGAGAGAGACAGAGCUUUGGUAUCAUGACUGCGAUCCCAAUAUAGCAACUGAGGAAAGGCAGGAAGGACGUACCCUUCCCGGAUACUGUAAAGGCUUUAUCUGACCCUGUUCACCGCGAGCUUUACCCAGACUUUGCAGCAAGUGAUGUGCAGUGGUGAUGUGGAAGGAGAAGACAUCGAGAUGUUACCCCUCCUGGAGCCCAGCCUUCGUAAGGUUGCUCUCUGGCACUCUGCUCGAGAGCGUGGAAGAGAACAGACUCCAGAUUCCAACACUGACUGAAAUGAGUGUUUUCCCCUUGGUGAGGAAUCUGCUUCUUCCUAAUUCCUUUUCAAUACCUGCCAAAAUGAGAAGAAAAAUCAAAAGCAUCGUACCGUCUCCACCACUUGAAGAAUGUGAGGCACCCCCUGCCCAGAGCUGAGACACAGCUAUUGGGAACUGCUCCAAACCACUCAAUAACACACGAGCUCCAUUUCUUCACGGGACAAGCAAACUCCAAAUAAAAAGUAGGAUAUUUUUAACCUGCCUUUUUCCAAGAAGAUGGCAACUGGGAACAUUUUAUUUAUUCUUUAAAGCCUUUUGGAAGAAAAGGAUAGGAAGGCGAUGCCUGGGACAGCUCUCGUAUGAAGGACGCCAGCUUGGACAGACAUUUCAGCAGAGCUGGAUUUGGUGAGCCCAGGACGGUCCUGCUCCCUGAGGCUGCUUUGAAUUGUCUUCCUGGAGAGAACAAGUCGAGGCAUUAUCCCACCCUGGUGCCAGGGUCAGGAUUCCCUUCUCCAGCCACUUCUUUCUCCCUUGGAAGACAUGUAAGCAGAAAUUUCAGGACUGAAGAGAGUUAGAAAUUCCAGCAGAAGAAAGACAAAAUUCCCCAUCACCACCUCCCUUCAUAUCCUCCAAACUGGGGAGGUUGCUAAGUGACAGCAUUUCUGCUCUCACUAACUCCCUAUGAGAACCUGAGCACUUAGAAGCAAGAAAAUGGCUAUUUAAGGACAUGAUAACUCCUGUUCUUUGGUAGCGACCAACAAGCUGUUUGCUGAAGACUGAGGAUAUUUUCACCCAGAAGUUAAGUUUGGAGAAGUGUCUUGGUGUUUCAGCCACGAGUGAUGAGGAGAAGCAGGGGCAAACUCCUGGGGUGGAACACGCUCAUCAGGCCUGAAGCAGCCAAGGCGAUGCUUUCCUCAGCAUCUCUGCCACUAGUCGGUUCUUCCUAUCUUUCUAACUCUACCAGAUGCAUCCUCUGAAGCUGAAAUCACACAGUGGGUUGGGAGCACUAAUGAAAAACGUCACUGCAUCUCAGCCUCAAGCCCAUGAACUCAGCCUGGGACAUCACCGUGGUCCCCCAGUGGCCACCCCCAGCCACUCUUCCUCUCCAGGCAGCAUUUACUUGGGCAGAUUUCAGCUCCUUACACCUCCAAACCAGUUUUGUGCAUCGGUAUUUUGAAGGAGUCACCUUUUGGGGAUGGAAUGUCACUUAAGGUGAGCAGCGUUCUGCAAUCAAGUGGUAGUGGCAAGGAAUGCUUUCCAAGCAGAUGGAAACAAGGAUCUUGCUGGGACAGGCAUCUCUCCCACCAUCCUCUCUACCUGCACUUGCAUUUUGAGGGGUUUUGUUGUUGUGGGGUUUUUUCACCCUUGCUUAUUUAUCUGGCAGCAUUUGCUGAGCCUAGUCCUGAGAUGCAGCAGUGUUCAGGAAGUCCCUGUAGGCAUCUGGGGUGGGGAAAGGUAAUUAAGGGGAAAUGCACCAAUUCCCCAUGGAGUUGCCUCUGAUUUUAGAUGCUUCCAAACGCCCAGGUCAGUGCCCAGAGCAGUUGAGAGGAAUUGGAAUAAGCAAUUUGGGGGUGCAAUGGGCACAUGGAAAAGAAGCACAACCCUUAGUAGCUAUGAGAGAGCGCACAGCGGGACUCAGACCUGCUGAUGGACUUCGCAGAGGUGGUGGGUGCAGGUGAGCCAGGGGCAGCUCUUGCUGCGUGCUUCUCUGUGUCUCUCAGGUCACGUUCCCUCUCUUGAGCUCCCUGGAGAACUCCCAGCUCCAUAAAUCAGUAGUUGGAUUACACUGAUCUGGAAACAGUAUUUUUUGUUUCCUCCACUACAGAUAGAACUCAGAGAACCCUCCUCAUUGACUAAGUAAUCCCAAGACCAUUUGAUAGCAGCCAGCAGCGCGAUGUAAGCAGCAAUUGCCCUCGUUUUGUUUAACCAUGUGUGCAGGAAAGACGGGAAAGGUGGCGUGUCUACGUAUACCACCCCACCCUCCGAGCUAAGUCAGGACGAUGUUUAUUAAUCUGCUCAGUGGGAUCCUACCAGGCAAAACAUGUUUCAUUGUUGAAACAGAAAGAAAUGGGCUCCCAAGAACAAGCAAUAUUGUUUACAUGGCAUUGAUCAGCACAGAGCUUUUGCUGGCUCAGCAGUCUGAACCCCUGGUUUUCAUCAGUGGAGUGCUUAACCCGUGGCUAAUUGGAUUUGCCAUCGUUAGUGUGAUCUAUGUUGCCUCCAAUUACUCUUUGCAUGGCCCCGGCUGAGCACCCACCACUUUCAACAGGGACAGAGAUCCAAAAGACCGGAACCCCUGCAAGGUCAGGGAGCAAAAGCAUCCUGGCGUGUUGGGACAUCAGUGCCUGCUAAAUGAUGCCAACAACGCUGGAGCUGGAGUUGAGCGGAAGUUUGGGCCGAGGAAGGAUUUUAUUUGCUCUAAGGUGGGUGUAGUUUUCACUGUGCUAAAUGGUAUCUUGUAAAGAACAGAAUUAAACCCUGUAAAUCCAGGGAGGGCAACAGAGGGUGUGUGAAAAUUGGCUGUGAUUAAUUAAUUAGAAGUGAAUUAUUAUUUCAUUAAUUAGGAUGCAGCUGAGACUGCAGCCCUGAGACUACAUAGUCACAGGCUUCCCAGUGGGGGAUGGAUGUAUUAGUGCCAAGGUAAACUGAGGCGUAGAUGGAUUAAGUUAUUUUGCAGGGCCACUCAGGGAAGCUUUGUGUGACCGCGGUUCUGCAUCCCGUCCCUGUCAUGUGGGAUCAUGAUAGAGAUGCUCUUUCCAUCCCUUGUCUGGUCUUCCCAGUUGCAUUCCCAUUUAAGCCAUUUUUCUCUUGAGGCUUGGCUGGUUUCUUCCACCACGGAGGUCCCCGUUCUGUGGAGCAUUUCCUACUUUGGAAUUCAAUGAAGAAACAGAAUGACAACGAAAAGAAGCCGUAAAACUCACUUUUCAGGGAAUGAGGAUCCAUGAUUUUUCUUGCUUGGCAAAAGGCUUUUUUUCCCCAUGGACUGGCAGCAAAACACCACUGAGUGUUUUGGCCCCAGAAGUGUGGACAUCCCAGGUACUCAGCUGCACCUCAAAAGCCAAAUAUUUGGGAAGCGAUUUCUCCCGUGGCAGGUAGUCUCCGCCAGGGAAAGCGAGUGGACUCAGCCACAUGCAGGCCCUUACAGCCUUGUUUUCAGUCGCGGCAAAGAGAAACCCUUUAAUCAGACAUAAUGCAGAGCCUCAACAGAUGGGUAAUUGGGUGCUCUUUGCUGAGCCAUGUCACGGGAGGUUAGACAAGAUGCUCUUUCGUGACCUUUAAAUCCAUGAACUAACAAAAUUGGGGCCUUCCUUUGGCCGUGCUGCUGGGCUCAUUUUCAUUUCACCGACUCAGCCCUGAGGGGAAUGAUUUCCUGCAGUUUGCUCCAGUCACACGGGUGGGAAUGUGCCCAGCCUGGGGCAGCACCGGGGGGGUGACCCAGGGCUUGUCCUCCUGGUGGUUCAGCUCCGGCUGAUGCCAAGGCAUUUGCUGGCACUGCCAGGCGAGACCCAGCGAUGCCACAUCCCCCGUCCAACUCAGCAAAGUGGGCUGAGCGUGCUGAAGGAGACGAGGAGCGCGUGGCCGCUGCGAUGGAGGGCGAUCGCUGCCCACCGAGGGGUGCGCUGAGUGCCCGGCUGGUGCUUUGCCCGUGCAGCAGAGUCGGGCAGGGCAGGCAGCAGGUGCUGGUGGUGGUCCCAGCUUUUCCCAUUCCCAUUCCCUGCUACCACUCGGGAAGCCUGUCCUCAGCUCAGGUCUGUGGAAGAGAACAUCUCUCCUCUUUGCCCAGAGAUAUCUUUGCUGAGCUCGGCAAAACCACAGCCAAGAGCCCACAGAAAUAAUAGUGCAAUUACCAAAGUAAUUAUCCUGGCUGCUGUGCAAAUCCUGCCCAGUUAAUGUUGGGGUUGGGAAGAGGGCACAGCUCGCCGAGAAGUGCUUGUUAUUACUUGUAUUCCCAGAAAAUAAAUCUCAGUUGGGAAUAUCCGUCCACCGCUGUGAUGUGGGGCAGCUGCAGGACCACAAAGGGUGGCUGUGGCGUGAUGGGGUGAGUGUGGAUGGCAAAGCGGUGGGGUCUGCUACAGAUCCUUGGGAUUUGUUGUCACUGUCCCCAUCCGAGUGGGACAGAAUUGCACCUGGAGGGGACCCAGCUGGAGCCAUCUCAAAGGGAACACAGUGGGGAUGGACUGGGGAAAAAGGGCCCUGACAGCUGUUGCCGAUCGAGAGAAAAACUAAGGAAUGAGAAAAUGAUGGGGGAGAUUAUAAAUGAUAGGGGAGAAAAUGAUGGGGGAGAUAGGAAGGCCAAAUGUGUCUUGGACUGCGUCAAAAGCAGUGUGGCCAGCAGGGUGAGGGAAGUGAUUCUGCCCCUCUUUUCCUCUCUUGUGAGACCUCAUCUGGAGUAUUGUGUCCAGUUCUGGAACCCUCAAUGUAAGAAGGAGGUGGAGCUGUUGGGGAGGAGGCUACAAAGAUGAUCCGAGGGCUGGAGCACCUCCCAUGUGAGCACAG